rnacentral:lncRNA from 1 species
CAACUUCCGCGGCAACUCCGCCGCCGGCGGCCGGUCCCGGUCCCGGCGUUCCGCUGCACUCCCACAGUCCCACCUCUGCGUCCGCGGGGACGGGGUAGCCCUACUGAGCUUCGCAGCCUAACAAGUUUCUUGCCACCAGGUAGGCGCUUCCUACCUGCGGUUCCCUCGUUUCAGGAUGCUGGAUUUUGCAUCCUGCUAGCACUGGCUCUGGCUCUGGCUUUGAGCGAGCAAUAAGGUAACUAGCCAACCCACGGGACCCCUUACUCUGUUUUAUUUUGCCAACAUUCGUCACUCUAUUCUUCAAUCUGCCUGAUUCUGAGUAGACAUUAUUGCUUUCGUGGGAUCCUUUCCGCCUGAGGUGCUCGCAGGCAAAGGUUUAUUUUUUUUCUCUCAGGAGACAAAAACGUUCCUCUGAAUGUUGCUGUGGCUUUGGAGAAAAUAGCUAUUAUAGGACUCUAAUCGUGCGGCUUCUUCGAAAUAGGAUUCUUAACGUUUGUUUAUCUGAAAUAGGACUCUAAACGUUGAUAAUAAGCUGUAAUGACAUUUUGUGUCUUUUUCAUUUCUUUUUUUAUCUAAAUACAUGUAUUUGUUCCUAAAAUGACCCUUUUAUCCUUCAGUCAUUAAACUGUUAUGGUAGUCUCCAUUACAGAAAAAAAAACAUCAUAGCUUCCUGGCCUGUGUGUUGCCUUGUCCAGCUUAUUUUUUUUUAAUAAACUGAUGCCUUGCUGCCAUGCCGCCAUGGUCGUGGCUGCCGUGCUGGCUGGCCAUGGUCAUGGCAAAUAUUGGAUGUCGGCCAGGUAUCUCGCGCUGCUAGUGCUUCGCGCUGCCUGCAGCCUGAUGUCCAGGCAGAGAUCGCCAGCCACUGUUGGGGGCUCGGCUGAUUUUGGGGAUUGUAACGGAGGGUGAGAGUACCAAGACCGAAAGCAGGUAAGACGGGUGUUGUGCCGUGCCAACUAGAUCACACAUCUGCUGAUCUGCCUAAUCCAAUCGGUCUUGGAGUGUCACCUGAAAUGUUUCACGCUUAAAAAUCGAGUAAGAAUCACUUUAGCAAAAUUGUAUGGAUAACAUGCUAGAUCUUGGCGAAAAACAAUUCGGCUCUAAUUAACAAGCUUAAAUUACAAAUUCAACUGAGCUAAAAUUGAGCCGAACUUGAUACUCGCACUGCUCGAGGGCUAGAGAUCCUUUCACAUCUGUAAAUGACAAGUGACCCACUGUACAUAAGCUUGUUUGUUUGUUCAUGCAUCUCUAUUGCUCCGGCUUCUUGUCUCUGGCCUUCUGCAUGUCCACCAUCUUUAAUUUCUCCUUGAGGCAAGAUGUCAUCUGAAUCACCACCAUCUUUAAUUUCUCCUUGUGGCAAGAUAUUAUCUGAAUCACCAUUUUCAUGUUCUACUUGUUUGCUUUUGCAGAAAUAAAUUGUUAAGGCGACCACAAGAGAGGUGGUUGAGGCAACUCCAGUGGCAAUAGUCGGUCCUGCGAAACUGUCAAAGGUGAGUGUACCUGAACCAGAGAUGGUGCCCACAUUUUGGCAGUUGUUUUGAUCUCCUAUCCAUUUCUUCUCAAUCCGAGUUAUAGUGUCUCCCCCUGUUAUGUUGAGGAUUGCUUGUGAGAUGUCACCUAUUAUUGGCGAUCCCUUCUGAAGUGCCUGUGGAAGAAGGUGCCCGUGUAAAAAAC